rnacentral:tRNA from 1 species
GAAUGUAGCUCAGUGGUAGAUUGUCCGCCUCCCACGCGUGAGGCCCUGGGUUCUAUCCUCAGCACCA